rnacentral:rRNA from 1 species
UGAGUUUGAUCAUCAGGAUCAAACCUAGCGGGAGGCUUAACACAUGCAAGUCGAGGGGUAACAUUGGAGCUUGCUUCAGAUGACGACCGGCGCACGGGUGAGUAACGCGUAUGCAACCUACCUCAAACAGGGGAAUAGCUCAGGGAAACCUGGAUUAAUACCCCAUAAUAUUUAGAUUUGGCAUCAGAUUUAAAUUAAAACUCCGGUGGUUUGAGAUGGGCAUGCGUGACAUUAGCUAGUUGGUAAGGUAAUGGCUUACCAAGGCUACGAUGUCUAGGGGUUCUGAGAGGAUGAUCCCCCACACUGGUACUGAGACACGGACCAGACUCCUACGGGAGGCAGCAGUCAGGAAUAUUGGUCAAUGGGCCCAAGCCUGAACCAGCCAUCCCGCGUGUAGGAAGACUGCCCUAUGGGUUGUAAACUACUUUUUUAAGGGUAGAAACUCCCGCACGUGUGCGGGAUUGACUGUACUUUACGAAUAAGCACCGGCUAACUCCGUGCCAGCAGCCGCGGUAAUACGGAGGGUGCAAGCGUUAUCCGGAUUUAUUGGGUUUAAAGGGUGCGUAGGCGGGCCUUUAAGUCAGUGGUGAAAUCCUGCAGCUUAACUGUAGAACUGCCAUUGAUACUGAAGGCCUUGAGUAUAGUUGAGGUAGGCGGAAUGCGUAAUGUAGCGGUGAAAUGCUUAGAUAUUACUCAGAACACCGAUUGCGAAGGCAGCUUACUAAACUGUUACUGACACUGAUGGACGAAAGCGUGGGGAGCGAACAGGAUUAGAUACCCUGGUAGUCCACGCCGUAAACGAUGCUCACUCGCUGCUUGCGAUACAUUGUAAGUGGCCAAGCGAAAGUUUUAAGUGAGCCACCUGGGGAGUACGAUCGCAAGGUUGAAACUCAAAGGAAUUGACGGGGGCCCGCACAAGCGGAGGAACAUGUGGUUUAAUUCGAUCAUACGCGAGGAACCUUACCUGGGCUUAAAUGUAGUAUGACCGUACCCGAAAGGGUAUUUCUCUUGGGCUAUUUACAAGGUGCUGCAUGGUUGUCGUCAGCUCGUGCCGUGAGGUGUCGGGUUAAGUCCCAUAACGAGCGCAACCCCUAUCGUUAGUUGCCAGCGGAUAAUGCCGGGGACUCUAGCGAGACUGCCACCGUAAGGUGAGAGGAAGGUGGGGAUGACGUCAAAUCAGCACGGCCCUUAUGUCCAGGGCUACACACGUGUUACAAUGGUCGGUACAAAGGGCAGCUACACAGCGAUGUGAUGCUAAUCUCUAAAGCCUGUCCGUAGUCCGGAUUGUUCUCUGCAACUCGAGAGCAUGAAGCCGGAAUCGCUAGUAAUCGCGGAUCAGCAUGCCGCGGUGAAUACGUUCCCGGGUCUUGUACACACCGCCCGUCACACCAUGGGAGUGGAAUCUGCCAGAAGUAGGUAGCCUAACCGCAAGGGGGGCGCUUACCACGGUGGGUUUCAUGACUGGGGUGAAGUCGUAAUCAAGGUACC